UGAUCGUAUAGUAUAACUGUUCGUUCCUGUUAGAGUAUUUCGGAUAUUAAGCGCAUGAGUUCCAGCCUACCCACGAGGGGGGAGACCUUGGCGGAAUCUCCGGUACCAAUCUCUUGUACCAAGCUCUCGUACCAAGCUGUCCUCCUUCAAGUCCAAAGCUGGAUCUUAUAUAGUCCAGUUGUCCAUAAACAUUGGCCCAUAGCUAAUGGCCGGUUACGUAUUCGUCUGGAUGUUAAAUAAUUCUAGUCUAUGGUUAGUUGUCAAACUGCAAUUACCCCCUGAAGGAUACAUGUUAUUUCACAGUAGACAUGGUCAUUUAUUGGCUGCAGGGUAUACAUGGUAUGUCUAUAAUAUUUGAACAGAUCGUUAUUUAAAAGUGUCCAAAGUGUACAUUUCAUAGAAUGUUCGGUUAUGCUGUAAUUAAUUCCUUUUUAAUGAAU
rnacentral:lncRNA from 1 species